rnacentral:rRNA from 1 species
GAAGGUAGCAUAAUUAAUUGCCUUGUAAUUUAAGGCUUGUUUGAAUGGUUUGACGAGAUAAUGUUUAAUAUUUGGUGUUUUGUUGAAAUUGAUUUUGAUGGUUUAGAAUCCUCAAUUAAUUAAUUAGACGGAAAGACCCCGGGAUCUUUUAUUUUGCCUGGGGCGGGUAUUUUUUUUUCAAAAAUAUUAUGACCCUUUAUAGUAUAUUGAGUUAAGUUACCCCGGGGAUAACAGUGUAAUAAUUAAUUAGAGUUCAUAUCGAAUUAGUUGGUUGCCACCUCGAUGUUGACUUAGGUAAAUAUAAUGGGCGCAGUUGUUUGUUAUUUAGGUCUGUUCGACCUGUAUUACCUCCAUGAGUUGAGUUAAGACCGGCGUGAGC